rnacentral:rRNA from 1 species
UACGGGGGAGCAAGCGUUGUUCGGAUUUACUGGGACGUAAAGGGCGCAGUAGGCGGCGUGACAAGUCACUUGUGAAAUCUCCGGGCUUAACUCGGAGCGGUCAAGUGAUACUGUCGUGCUAGAGUACAGAAGGGGCAACUGGAAUUCUCGGUGUAGCGGUGAAAUGACGUAGAUAUCGAGAGGAACACCUGCGGCGAAGGCGGGUUGCUGGGCUGAUACUGACGCUGAGGCGCGAAAGCUAGGGGAGCGAACGGG